rnacentral:rRNA from 1 species
GACGAACGCUGGCGGCGUGCUUAACACAUGCAAGUCGAACGGAAAGGCCCUGCUUUUGUGGGGUGCUCGAGUGGCGAACGGGUGAGUAACACGUGAGUAACCUGCCCUUGACUGUGUGAUAACUUCAGGAAACUGGGGCUAAUACCGGAUAGGAGCUCCUGCUGCAUGGGGGGGGUUGGAAAGUUUCGGCGGUUGGGGAUGGACUCGCGGCUUAUCAGCUUGUUGGUGGGGUAGUGGCUUACCAAGGCUUUGACGGGUAGCCGGCCUGAGAGGGUGACCGGCCACAUUGGGACUGAGAUACGGCCCAGAAUCCUACGGGAGGCAGCAGUGGGGAAUAUUGCACAAUGGGCGGAAGCCUGAUGCAGCAACGCCGCGUGCGGGAUGACGGCCUUCGGGUUGUAAACCGCUUUCGCCUGUGCCGAAGCGUGAGUGACGGUAAUGGGUAAAGAAGCACCGGCUAACUACGUG